rnacentral:misc_RNA from 1 species
GAGCCAAGAACAAGGCAG